rnacentral:rRNA from 1 species
AGAGUUUGAUCAUGGCUCAGAAUGAACGCUGGCGGCGUGCUUAACACAUGCAAGUCGAACGAUGAAGCCUAGCUUGCUAGGUGGAUUAGUGGCGCACGGGUGAGUAAUAUAUAGAUAAUGUGCCUCUUAGUCUAGGAUAGCCAUUGGAAACGAUGAUUAAUACUGGAUACUCCUUCUGAUUAUAAUUUCAGUUGGGAAAGUUUUUCGCUAAGAGAUCAGUCUAUAUCCCAUCAGUUAGUUGGUAGGGUAAUGGCCUACCAAGGCAAUGACGGGUAGCGGGUUUGAGAGGAUGAUCCGCCACACUGGUACUGAGACACGGACCAGACUCCUACGGGAGGCAGCAGUGAGGAAUAUUGCACAAUGGAGGAAACUCUGAUGCAGCAACGCCGCGUGGAGGAUGACGCAUUUCGGUGUGUAAACUCCUUUUAUAUGUCAAGAGAAUGACGGUAGCAUAUGAAUAAGCACCGGCUAACUCCGUGCCAGCAGCCGCGGUAAUACGGAGGGUGCAAGCGUUAUUCGGAAUCACUGGGCGUAAAGGACGCGUAGGCUGGAAGCCAAGUCUGAUGUGAAAUCCUAUGGCUUAACCAUAGAACUGCAUUGGAAACUGGUUACCUAGAGUAUGGGAGGGGGAGAUGGAAUUAGUGGUGUA